GACGAACCGAGCGAACGUUGUUCGGAAUCACUGGGCUUAAAGGGCGCGUAGGCGGGCGAUCAAGUCAGGGGUGAAAGCCCCCAGCUCAACUGGGGAAGUGCCUCUGAUACUGAUCGUCUCGAGGGGGAUAGGGGCGUGCGGAACUUCCGGUGGAGCGGUGAAAUGCGUAGAUAUCGGAAGGAACACCGGUGGCGAAAGCGGCGCGCUGGAUCCCUUCUGACGCUGAGGCGCGAAAGCCAGGGGAGCAAAGCAGG
rnacentral:rRNA from 1 species